rnacentral:rRNA from 1 species
GGUCCAGACUUUGAUUAUGGCUCAGGAUGAACGCUAGCGGCAGGCUUAACACAUGCAAGUCGAGGGGCAGCGCGGGGCAGCAAUGUUCUGGCGGCGACCGGCGGAAGGGUGCGUAACGCGUGAGCGACAUGCCCGUUGCCCGGGGACAACCGGUGGAAACGCCGACUAAUCCCCGAUGGGACGGAGGCCCUCAUGGGUCUCCGUUGAAAGUUACGGCGGCGACGGAUUGGCUCGCGUCCGAUUAGCUUGUUGGCGGGGUAACGGCCCACCAAGGCUACGAUCGGUAGGGGUUCUGAGAGGAAGGUCCCCCACAAUGGAACUGAGACACGGUCCAUACUCCUACGGGAGGCAGCAGUGAGGAAUAUUGGUCAAUGGGCGGAAGCCUGAACCAGCCAUGCCGCGUGCGGGAAGGAGGCCCUAUGGGCUGUGAACCGCUUUUGCCUGGGGGCAAUAAGGGCGUCGUGCACGUCCGAUGAGAGUACCAGGCGAAUAAGCAUCGGCUAACUCCGUGCCAGCAACCGCGGUAAUACGGGGGAUGCGAGCGUUAUCCGGAUUCAUUGGGUUUAAAGGGUGCGUAGGCUGUGCGUCAAGUCAGGGGUGAAAUUCCGGGGCUCAACUCCGGGGCUGCCCUUGAUACUGUCGCGCUGGAGUGCGGAUGCCGCCGGAGGAAUGAGUGGUGUAGCGGUGAAAUGCCUAGAUAUCACUCAGAACACCGAUUGCGAAGGCAUCUGGCGAAUCCGUAACUGACGCUGAGGCACGAAAGCGUGGGGAUAGAACAGGAUUAGAUACCCUGGUAUUCCACGCCGUAAACGAUGAUGGCUAACCGCCGGCGACACACUGUCGGUGGCCAAGCGAAAGCGAUAAGCCAUCCACCUGGGGAGUACGUCGGCAACGAUGCAACUCAAAGGAAUUGACGG